GCAUUAGUAGUUAAGUGGUAGAAUUCUCGCACUCCAUGCGAGAGACCGGGGUUCAGUUCCCAGCUAGCGCA
rnacentral:tRNA from 1 species